UCUUCCUCACUUUGAAACGUCAAUUUUUUAUGUUCAAUAGGAAUGUUAUGAAAGUCUCUAUAAUGUUCUAUAACGGUCUUCCUAUCAGCACAAAAGUCACUGCACAAAGCACACUGAUUUGCAUUGGUAGUGGUCGAGGUAUUGGGGUGUGUAAUAUCGGGAGCUGAAGUGUUAUUUGAGCCUCUAUGUGUUCUGAUGUGGAAUUUUAAAUUUCUUAAAUGCGUAAAACGUUUUUUACACUGGUCAUAAGCAAAAUUAUAAUGUUUAUUUUGUCGUAUUUGCAGGGAAGCUAGAUAGAGACAUGCUUUCUUAGAUUGCUAAUGUUACUGUAUUUCUUGCUGCACUGCACACUCGUAUGUUGCCCCUCCAUUUUUUUAUUGUCUUAAAUGUACUAUAAUUGCACAGAAUAAACGAUCUCAGAUCGUUUAUUCUAUGAUAAUAGCAAAUAAAUUAACAAAAGGUGGAUUUAUACAGACAAAUAAAAGUAAAAAUAAACAUAAAAGUUAAAAUUUGACCAACUUGAAAGGUAUUUCCAGUAUUUCUUAUUUUAUAUUAUCCACUACAUUUAGCUUUUAGUUUUAUUUAAUUUAGUUGUAUAAUUUCACCCAAAAUUAAUAAAGUUUUACAAUACUAACGAAAAAACGACACUUUAAAACAACCCACAACUUGCCGAACAGUAUUCUAACCUAACUAACUUAUGACUAACUUCACCAAGCGCAUGUCAAAAAAGAAGGAUCAAUAGUUGCAUACCCGGGGCUAGACGCCAGUCUACCUUUCUGCCUCUCGCUCGCUCUUUAAGGCCCAGCGCCCACAGAAGUGGUAUUGGCUUAUGGCGUGGCAGUGGUGUGGCACCGACGUGGCAGCGGCCUGGCGUUUUGACGCCUACUAAAGUGGCACAGAAGCAGCACACAAAAUGCAAAUUUAGUCAUUACUACAAUGUCGUCUUCAGAGGACGAAGAUGUUCUUGCUUUAGUGCAUUUAAAUAAUAUUCAAAGAAGACGAUAUUGGGUACAUCCUUUAUGGAAAAAGAAAAACAAAAAAUAUGGCAGCUUUAAUGUAUUUAAAGAGCUAAAUCAGUAUCCAGAACGGUUUCAGUCUUUUUAUCGAAUGUCUAAAGACUGUUUUACUCGGCUACUAAACAUAAUAAAACCAAAAAUAACUAAAAAGAAUACAAACUGGAGAAAUUGUGUUAGUGCAGAAGAGCGAUUAUUAAUAACUCUUAGAUACUUUGCCACGGGCUCAUCUUUCAAGUCCUUACAAUGUAUAAUUACAGAAUUUCUCGGGGACGCAAAUCAGUGGAAUGCUGCUUUGGUAUGUUAAGUACUAAAUUUGGAAUAUUGCAAACGCCCAUCUGUAUGAAAACGAAAAGGAUUGAUAUAAUAAUUCUAGCAAUAUGUGCUUUACAUAAUUUUAUUCGUAUUUACGAUGGAAUUUUUUCCACACCUAAACAACCAAACAAUAUUCAGCACAUACCUGUUCAGGAUUUGCAAAUACAAAGAAACACUCCACAAAAUUUAAGAAAUCGGCUUUGUAACUACUUUUGUAACAUUUCUCCCAUUCCAAACCAAGGAUAUUACAAUUUUUAAUAACUAUUUUUUAUUAGGUAUUACAAUACCAUGUACCUCUACUACAUUUUUUGAGUUGUAACUAUAACCUUACUUAUUAUAAUAAAUUAUUGGAUUAAAAAUUA